rnacentral:rRNA from 1 species
GAUGAACGCUAGCGGCAGGCUUAAUACAUGCAAGUCGAGGGGCAGCACAGAUAGCAAUAUUGGGUGGCGACCGGCAAACGGGUGCGGAACACGUACACAACCUUCCUUUUGGUGGGGGAUAGCCUUUGGAAACGGAGAUUAAUACCCCAUAAGAUAUUGGGACCGCAUGGUUUUGAUAUUAAAGAUUUAUUUCCAGAAGAUGGGUGUGCGUAUGAUUAGGUAGUUGGUUAGGUAAAGGCUCACCAAGCCGACGAUCAUUAACUGGUGUGAGAGCACGACCAGUCACACGGGCACUGAGACACGGGCCCGACUCCUACGGGAGGCAGCAGUAAGGAAUAUUGGUCAAUGGACGGAAGUCUGAACCAGCCAUGCCGCGUGGAGGAUGAAGGUCCUCUGGAUUGUAAACUUCUUUUAUAUGGGGCGAAAAAGGGCCAUUCUUGGUCAACUGACGGUACCAUAUGAAUAAGCACCGGCUAACUCCGUGCCAGCAGCCGCCGUAACAC